GGACGGGUGAGUAAUGCCUGGGAAAUUGCCCUGAUGUGGGGGAUAACCAUUGGAAACGAUGGCUAAUACCGCAUAAUGUCUACGGACCAAAGAGGGGGACCUUCGGGCCUCUCGCUUCAGGAUAUGCCCAGGUGGGAUUAGCUAGUUGGUGAGGUAAUGGCUCACCAAGGCGACGAUCCCUAGCUGGUCUGAGAGGAUGAUCAGCCACACUGGAACUGAGACACGGUCCAGACUCCUACGGGAGGCAGCAGUGGGGAAUAUUGCACAAUGGGCGCAAGCCUGAUGCAGCCAUGCCGCGUGUAUGAAGAAGGCCUUCGGGUUGUAAAGUACUUUCAGUCGUGAGGAAGGCGUUGAAGUUAAUAGCUUCNUCGUUUGACGUUAGCGACAGAAGAAGCACCGGCUAACUCCGUGCCAGCAGCCGCGGUAAUACGGAGGGUGCGAGCGUUAAUCGGAAUUACUGGGCGUAAAGCGCAUGCAGGUGGUUUGUUAAGUCAGAUGUGAAAGCCCGGGGCUCAACCUCGGAACCGCAUUUGAAACUGGCAGGCUAGAGUACUGUAGAGGGGGGUAGAAUUUCAGGUGUAGCGGUGAAAUGCGUAGAGAUCUGAAGGANUACCAGUGGCGAAGGCGGCCCCCUGGACAGAUACUGACACUCAGAUGCGAAAGCGUGGGGAGCAAACAGGANUANAUACCCUGGNAGUCCACGCCGUAAACGAUGUCUACUUGG
rnacentral:rRNA from 1 species